rnacentral:rRNA from 1 species
CGCGAGCAUCGUCUCGGUAAGUUACCAAGGGCACUUGGUGGAUGCCUUGGCGCCAGAAGACGACGAAGGACGUUGCAGGGUGCGAUAAGCCACGGGGAGCUCCCAAGCAAGCUUCGAUCCGUGGAUGUCCGAAUGGGAAAACCUGGCACGGGUCAUGCCGUGUCGCGGCCGUCUGAACGCAUAGGGCGGUCGUGGUAACCGGGUGAAGUGAAACAUCUAAGUAACCCGAGGAGGAGAAAGCAACCGCGAUUCCCUUAGUAGUGGCGAGCGAACGGGGAGUAGCCUAAACCGGUGUGGUGGGAUAGCUGGCAGGCGUUGCCACAUCGGGGUCGUGGGAGCCAACGGAAGGGGCUGCCAUCCCUUCGGGGAGUGACAAAGCUCGUGGAUAGUCGAACAGGCCUGGAACGGUCGGCCAUAGAAGGUAAUAGCCCUGUAGGCGAAAUCCAGCGGGCCUCCUGUUGGUGUUCCCGAGUAGUGCGGAGCCCGAGAAAUUCCGUACGAAUCGGUGGGGACCACCCCAUAAGGCUAAAUACUCUCUGGCGACCGAUAGUGGACAAGUACCGUGAGGGAAAGGUGAAAAGUACCCCGGGAGGGGAGUGAAAUAGUACCUGAAACCGGGUGCCUACAAGCAGUCGGAGCCCUCUUUGUGGGGGUGACGGCGUGCCUCUUGCAAAAUGAGCCGACGAGUUAGCGGUCAGUAGCGAGGUUAACCGGUUGCACGGGGAGCCGAAGCGAAAGCGAGUCCGAACAGGGCGUGUCAAGUUGCUGGCCCUAGACCCGAAACCGAGUGAGCUACCCAUGGGCAGGCUGAAGCGCGGGUAAGACCGUGUGGAGGGCCGAACCCACUGAGGUUGAAAACUCAGGGGAUGACCUGUGGGUAGGGGUGAAAGGCCAAUCAAACUCGGAGAUAGCUGGUUCUCCCCGAAAUGUAUUUAGGUGCAGCGUCGCGCGUUUCGUGGUGGAGGUAGAGCACUGUUUGGUCGCGGGGGCCGAAAAGCCUACCAAGAUCAGAUAAACUCCGAAUGCCAUUACGUGACAGCGCGGCAGUGAGACUGCGGGGGAUAAGCUCCGUGGUCGAGAGGGAAAGAGCCCAGACUGCCGGCUAAGGUCCCCAAAUCAUGGCUAAGUGGGAAAGGAUGUGGGGCGUCCCAGACAACCAGGAGGUUGGCUUAGAAGCAGCCAUCCUUGAAAGAGUGCGUAAUAGCUCACUGGUCGAGAAGCCCUGCGCCGAUAAUGUAACGGGGCUAAGCCAUGUACCGAAGCCGCAGCAGCACACCGUAGAUCGCGAAAGCGGGUGUGCUGGGUAGGGGAGCGUCGAUAUCGCGAUAAAGCGGCGGGGUGACCCAGUCGUGGAGCGGUAUGGAGCGAGAAUGUCGGCAUGAGUAACGAUAGAGGGGGGAGGAACCCCUCCGCCGGAUGUCCAAGGGUUCCUGGGGAAGGAUCAUCCGCCCAGGGUAAGUCGGGACCUAAGGCGAGGCCGAAAGGCGUAGUCGAUGGGUAACCGGUUGAUAUUCCGGUACCGGUCCGCAACCGCCCCAAGCUGACCGCGGUCGCACAACGGCGACGCUCCUUUCGGGGGGCGGCCGGCUUGGGCCGCCAGUAAGCCAGCGAUGGGGUGACGCAGAAGGGUAGGGCAACCCAGGCGAUGGUAGUCCUGGGGUAAGCGUGUAGGCCGCGGUACAGGCAAAUCCGUGCCGCACAUGGCUGAGACGCGACGCCGACACGCCAAGUGGAAGUGUCCGAUCCCAUGCUGUCAAGAAAAACCUCUAGCGAGGUUGUGGGCCGCCCGUACCCCAAACCAACUCAGGUGGACAGGUAGAGCAUACCGAGGCGAUCGAGCGAACCCUGGUUAAGGAACUCGGCAAAUUGGCCCCGUAACUUCGGGAGAAGGGGUGCCUCUGGCGGUGUAAGGCUGUGCGCCUGAAGCGGCCGGGGGCCGCAGUGACCAGGCCCAAGCGACUGUUUACUAAAAACACAGGUGCAUGCGAAGUCGAAAGACGCGGUAUAUGCACCGACGCCUGCCCGGUGCCGGAACGUUAAGGGGAGGGGUUAGCCCUUUUGGGGCGAAGCUUCGAACCUAAGCGCCGGUAAACGGCGGCGGUAACUAUAACCGUCCUAAGGUAGCGAAAUUCCUUGUCGGGUAAGUUCCGACCUGCACGAAUGGCGUAACGACUUGGGCGCUGUCUCAACCAGGGGCUCGGUGAAAUUGCAAUGUGAGUAAAGAUGCUCACUUCGCGCAGCAGGACGGAAAGACCCCGGGACCUUUACUGCAGCUUGAUGUUGGGAUUCGGUACUGGUUGUGCAGGAUAGGUGGGAGGCUUGGAAGCGGGCACGCAAGUGCUCGUGGAGCCGUCCUUGGAAUACCACCCUUCCAGUAGUGGAUUUCUCACCUCGGUCCGUGAUCCGGAUCAGGGACAGCGUCUGGUGGGCAGUUUAACUGGGGCGGUUGCCUCCUAAACGGUAACGGAGGCGCCCAAAGGUUCCCUCAGGCUGGUUGGCAAUCAGCCGCUGAGUGUAAGGGCACAAGGGAGCUUGACUGCGAGACUGACAGGUCGAGCAGAUGCGAAAGCAGGGCCUAGUGAUCCGGCGGUGGCUUGUGGAAGCGCCGUCGCUCAACGGCUAAAAGGUACCCCGGGGAUAACAGGCUUAUCUCCCCCAAGAGUCCACAUCGACGGGGAGGAUUGGCACCUCGAUGUCGGCUCGUCGCAUCCUGGGGCUGGAGUAGGUCCCAAGGGUUGGGCUGUUCGCCCAUUAAAGCGGCACGCGAGCUGGGUUUAGAACGUCGUGAGACAGUUCGGUCCCUAUCCGCUGCGCGCGCAGGAAACUUGAGGAGAGCUGCCCCUAGUACGAGAGGACCGGGGUGGACGCACCUCUGGUGUGCCGGUUGUCCCGCCAGGGGCAUGGCCGGUUUGCUACGUGCGGAAGUGAUAAGCGCUGAAGGCAUCUAAGCGCGAAGCACGCUCCAAGACGAGGUUUCCCGUCCCGCCAUGGGAGUAAGGCCCCCUGUCAGACCACAGGGUUGAUAGGCCGGAGGUGUAAGCUCAGCAAUGGGUUCAGCUGACCGGUACUAAUCGGCCGAGGACUUACCAUG